UAGUCCACGCAGUAAACGAUGAAUGUUAGUCGUCGGGUAGCUAGUCUAUUCGGUGAUGCAGCUAACGCAUUAAACAUUCCGCCCGGGGAGUACGGUCGCAAGAUUAAAACUCAAAGGAAUGGACGGGGACCCGCACAAGUGGUGGAGCAUGUGGUUUAAUUCGAAGAUACGCGAAGAACCUUACCUGGCCUUGACAUAUUUUAGAAUUCUUUAGAGAUAGAGAAGUGCCUUCGGGAGCUAAUAUACAGGUGCUGCACGGCUGUCGUCAGCUCGUGUCGUGAGAUGUUGGGUUAAGUCCCGCAACGAGCGCAACCCUCGUCACUAGUUACUAACGGUUCGGCCGAGGACCCUAGUGAGACUGCCUUCGCAAGGAGGAGGAAGGUGAGGACGACGUCAAGUCAUCAUGGCCCUUACGGCCAGGGCAACACACGUGCUACAGUGGUCGUGACAAAGGGUCGCUAAUCUGCAAAGACAUGCUAAUCUCAUAAACACGGCCUCAGUUCGGAUUG
rnacentral:rRNA from 1 species